UACGUAGGGGGCUAGCGUUGUCCGGAUUUAUUGGGCGUAAAGAGCGUGUAGGCGGCCAUGUAGGUCCGGUGUGAAAACUCGAGGCUUAACCUCGAGAUGUCAUCGGAAACCAUUUGGCUAGAGUCCGGAAGAGGAGAGUGGAAUUCCUGGUGUAGCGGUGAAAUGCGCAGAUAUCAGGAAGAACACCAAUGGCGAAGGCGGGUCUCUGGGCCGAUACUGACGCUGAGGAGCGAAAGCGUGGGGAGCGAACAGG
rnacentral:rRNA from 1 species